rnacentral:piRNA from 2 species
UGAAAGCAUCACAUUUCACACAGGGGAGC